AUUGAACGCUGGCGGCAUGCCUUACACAUGCAAGUCGAACGGUAACAGGUCUUCGGAUGCUGACGAGUGGCGAACGGGUGAGUAAUACAUCGGAACGUGCCCGAUCGUGGGGGAUAACGGAGCGAAAGCUUUGCUAAUACCGCAUACGAUCUACGGAUGAAAGCAGGGGACCGCAAGGCCUUGCGCGGACGGAGCGGCCGAUGGCAGAUUAGGUAGUUGGUGGGAUAAAAGCUUACCAAGCCGACGAUCUGUAGCUGGUCUGAGAGGACGACCAGCCACACUGGGACUGAGACACGGCCCAGACUCCUACGGGAGGCAGCAGUGGGGAAUUUUGGACAAUGGGCGAAAGCCUGAUCCAGCCAUGCCGCGUGCAGGAUGAAGGCCUUCGGGUUGUAAACUGCUUUUGUACGGAACGAAAAGACUCUUUCUAAUAAAGAGGGUCCAUGACGGUACCGUAAGAAUAAGCACCGGCUAACUACGUGCCAGCAGCCGCGGUAACAC
rnacentral:rRNA from 1 species